rnacentral:rRNA from 1 species
AGGACGAACGCUGGCGGCGUGCUUAACACAUGCAAGUCGAGCGGUAAGGCCUUUCGGGGUACACGAGCGGCGAACGGGUGAGUAACACGUGGGUGAUCUGCCCUGCACUUCGGGAUAAGCCUGGGAAACUGGGUCUAAUACCGGAUAUGACCUCCUAUCGCAUGGUGGGUGGUGGAAAGAUUUAUCGGUGCAGGAUGGGCCCGCGGCCUAUCAGCUUGUUGGUGGGGUAAUGGCCUACCAAGGCGACGACGGGUAGCCGACCUGAGAGGGUGACCGGCCACACUGGGACUGAGACACGGCCCAGACUCCUACGGGAGGCAGCAGUGGGAAUAUUGCACAAUGGGCGAAAGCCUGAUGCAGCGACGCCGCGUGAGGAUGACGGCCUUGGGUUGUAAACCUCUUUCAGCAGGACGAAGCGCAAGUGACGGUACCUGCAGAAGAAGCACCGGCUAACUACGUGCCCAAGCCAGCCGAC